CUAUAGGCCUUAAGUUAUAUGGGAAAGAUUGGCACAGCACCAAGUGAUCUGCAGCUGGGCUAGUACAGAGAUUGAGAAUAGUUUUGUGGCAUGUGACCAGGCUCUGAUCGACUGAAACAGUUGUGCAGAAGUGGCCCCGAAUGUAAAAAGAGCAGAGGAAACAGGAAGCUCUGUGUCAUAGCCCAGGGCACUGCCCAGCCCUCUGGUAGAGCCCUGUGCGUACCAAGCCAGCACUAAGCUUAGAUAAAAGAAUUAAAGUAGGACGCAAUGUAAAUAUCAAUGUAAAUAUUACCGCAAGUAACUUGUUAUAUCUGUUUUUGCAGCCAAGUGUUGCUCAGAAGCCGUAUUUUGAGAGAGAAUGGGAAAUACAUCCCCAAGCAGUCCUUUGCGAUGCGGAAGCACUACUUCAACGAUCCCGAGACGGGGUUCUUCAAGAAAACCAAGAGGAAGGUUGUUCCUAAAAACCCCAUGACAGAUACCAGCAUGCUGACGGACAUGAUGAAGGGCAACGUGACCAACGUCCUCCCCAUGAUCGUGAUUGGCGGCUGGAUCAACUGGGCUUUCUCCGGGUUCGUCACC